UCAUCUGGAGAGGAACAAGAUGAUAGAAUCUUAAAAUCAUCAAGAGAAGCAGUAUGAUCUGACUCUUGAUGAUUUUAAGAUUCUAUCAUCCUGUUCCUCUCCAGAUGAACU